rnacentral:lncRNA from 1 species
AUGCCUAUGUCAGAAGUUUCACUAUCUCCUUUAUACUUUAAUAAAACUUUAUUACACAAAAGCUCUGAGCGAUCAAGCCUCGUCUCUGGCCCUGGAUUGAAUUCUUCUUCUCUGGGGGCCAAGAAUCCCGGUGUCUUUUCGUUCAGCAACAACCUUUCAAAAGCUUAUAACUCAUCCCAGAAGGAGGGGAUAGAGACCCAAACAGGAGUUGGUUUCAAAAUAGAAAGCUCUGUGACAUGGUUUAGAGACAGAAAGACUUCCCUGGUGGGCCAGCGUUGAGGACCUGCCUGCCACUGCACAGGACAUGGGUCUGUUCCCUGCUCCACGAAGGUGCCAUGUGCCGCUGGGGGAGCAAGCCCGGCGCCACAGCUGCUGAGCCCGAGCUCCAGAGCCUCCGCCUGAGCUUACUGAAGCCCCUCCUGCAGCCCGCGCUCCGCGACAAGAGGCGCCCCUUCAGGGAGACUCCUGCGCGCCCCCACAGGAGAGCAGCCCCUCUCGCUGCACCUAGAGAAAGCCCAGGCGCAGCACCGAGGACGGCACAGCUGCAAACCAGGAAAUGAAUAAUAAAAUAAAGGCACAUGUAAAAUAUCAUGUAGGAAACGAGUUGCCAGUCCAGGUUCGAUGCACGAUGCUGGAUGCUUGGGGCUGGUGCACUGGGACGACCCAGAGGGAUGGUAUGGGGAGGGAGGAGGGAGGAGGGUUCGGGAUGGGGAACACAUGUAUACCUGUGGCGGAUUCAUUUUGAUAUUUGGCAAAACUAAUACAAUUAUGUAAAGUUUAAAAAUAAAAUAAAAAAUAAACAAACAAACAAACAAACAAAAAAUAAAGGCACAAAGCCAGAAGGAGCAGGCCUAGGAGCAACAAAAUGCUGAUUUAGUUCCUUGGAUUUCUUGCUGAUAACUUAAUAGAAAUGUCAUACAGCUCAUUUUCUCCCCCCAAAAUAUGUUUCUAUAUUUAUACAAGCUUGCUUCUUUUCCUCAUCUACUCUCCAUCUCCCUAGAACUCACCUGCAUGUCCCCAGCUUUCCUUCUGAUUUCUCAACAUCUUCCUCUGCAAAUUGUUCCUUCUUUCUUCUUCUGUACAUUCAAGGAUCAGUAGCCAGGGCCUCAUCCUGAGUGGAGAGGGACUCAAAGGUUUUAGGUGAAGGAGAUCCUCUAAUCAAGCUGACAUGUUAGAAAGACCCAUCAUGAGAAUUAUAAAACAGCAUUUCUCCCUGGGCUCGUCCUGAAUGCGUUCCUCUCUGAAUGACUGAGCUUUGUGUUCACUGACGUAAGUCCUGACCACAGGAGAGGCAGAAAUGUCCACAGACCUGCAGUCUGGUUUUUGUUGUUCGCUUCUGUCACUGCCAGUCAGGUCUCUUCUCACCUGUGUUCUCUGUCAGGCCUCCCUGUCCAUCACCAACUCCCGGAGCUUACUUAAACUCGUGUCCACAAGUCAGCAAUGCCAGCCAACCCUCUCAUCCUCUGUCGUUACUUCCCUCUUUAUCUGAUUGCUUUCUACUGUAAAAACUCCCCCUGCUAAACUCACCCCUCAGUCCUCCUUUGGGAUCUCCCAUUCCAAGAUUAUAUCUUCAUAUGCUGCACUCAGAGUUUUUAAAAUGUUUUUCAUUUACUGAAAUUGCACUCUCCCCAGGGGAAAUGGAUUUUCUGAACUUACUCAAUCAUUUUUCUAUAUUUCAAUUACAUCAAGAUACCAGGAUGAUGCUGGAAUCCUUGUAAUUUCCACCACCACUUCUGGACAAUUAUGCUUCUUGCUCUCAUGUUAAACCCUGCCGCCUACCCUUCUCUUCACUGUCACAGCCAAAAGCCAUUCUUACUUCCUUUAACUCAAAACUUCUAGCUUUUAUCUCAUGCCUAACUCCUGUCAUCACCCUGAGUGAAACAAAGCUAAUUUAUCUCAAAUUUUUGCUUGUUAGAUUUCAUCACCUCCUUUUCCCUACAGACCUCUACUAAACUUUUAGGUCAUGCACUCAUUUCCAUGGCUACAUCCUGGGGGCUUGUUUUCAAAUGCAGUUACUUCCUGCCUGAAAUGAUAAAUGAAACUCCUUUAAAAUGACACCUUCUUGCUUUUCCAGUUCACUUUGUCUAUUACAUUCAACCCAGUAGAUCUUGCCCAUCAUCAAGAUCUUGAGUUGAUGAAUUCCUCUAAUUGUUUAUCAGCCAUUCUUCUCUUCCCUCACCAUUCUCCUUAGAUUGAGAGAGUUAUGCUGACCAAAAGAAAGAAAAAAAUAUGUAAAUUCAAAAUGAAUUUAUUUCACUGGGAGAUUACAAGUAAUUUGGGAGCAAGCCCUUUGGUUUAUCCCACCAAAUGCUUAAAGCCAUGAGCCAUGGACUGUUAGUUGCUCUCUCCUGCGCAGUGUAAGUGUUGCACAGCUCCGUCUGUUCAGCUCUGACUGUUCCAAGGGCUCAGUGCCUAUAAUUAGCUUUCCUCACUUUUGGUCGUCAAUGUCUGCCUCCUCAGUAGGUCGGUCCCCACUACAACACCCACGAUCUUCUCAGUGCCUAUAAUUAGCUUUCCUCACUUUUGGUCGUCAAUGUCUGCCUCCUCAGUAGGUCGGUCCCCACUACAACACCCACGAUCUUCUCAGUGCCUAUAAUUACCUUUCCUCACUUUUGGUCGUCAAUGUCUGCCUCCUCAGUAGGUCGGUCCCCACUACAACACCCACGAUCCUCCGUUGUUCACCUUC